rnacentral:rRNA from 1 species
AUUGAACGCUGGCGGCAGGCCUAACACAUGCAAGUCGAGCGAGCGGCGGACGGGUGAGUAAUGUCUGGGAAACUGCCUGAUGGAGUGGGAUAACUACUGGAAACGGUAGCUAAUACCGCAUACCAUCAGAUGUGCCCAGAUGGGAUUAGCUAGUCGGUGGGGUAACGGCUCACCUAGGCGACGAGCCCUAGCUGGUCUGAGAGGAUGACCAGCCACACUGGAACUGAGACACGGUCCAGACUCCUACGGGAGGCAGCAGUGGGGAAUAUUGCAAAAUGGUCGCAAGCCUGAUGCAGCCAUGCCGCGUGUGUGAAGAAGGCCUUCGGGUUGUAAAGCACUUUCAGCGGGGAGGCGUUACCCGCAGAAGAAGCACCGGCUAACUCCGUGCCAGCCGCCGCGGUAAUUC